CUCUGUGACUCCUACGGGAGGCAGCAGUGGGAAUAUUGCACAAUGGGGGAAACCCUGAUGCAGCCAUGCCGCGUGUGUGAAGAAGGCCUUCGGGUUGUAAAGCACUUUCAGUAGGGAGGAAGGUAGUGUAGUUAACACCUGCAUUAUUUGACGUUACCUACAGAAGAAGCACCGGCUAACUCCGUGCCAGCAGCCGCGGUAAUACGGAGGGUGCGAGCGUUAAUCGGAAUUACUGGGCGUAAAGCGCAUGCAGGCGGCCUGUUAAGUCAGAUGUGAAAGCCCGGGGCUUAACCUCGGAAUUGCAUUUGAAACUGGCAGGCUAGAGUCUUGUAGAGGGGGUAGAAUUUCAGGUGUAGCGGUGAAAAUGCGUAGAGAUCUGAAGGAAUACCAGUGGCGAAGGCGGCCCCCUGGACAAAGACUGACGCUCAGAUGCGAAAGCGUGGGGAGCAAACAGGAUUAGAUACCCUGGUAG
rnacentral:rRNA from 1 species